rnacentral:rRNA from 1 species
UACAGAGGGGGCAAGCGUUGUUCGGAAUUACUGGGCGUAAAGGGCGCGUAGGCGGCCUGCUAAGUCGAACGUGAAAUCCCUGGGCUCAACCCAGGAACUGCGUCCGAUACUGGUUGGCUUGAAUCCGGGAGAGGGAUGCGGAAUUCCAGGUGUAGCGGUGAAAUGCGUAGAUAUCUGGAGGAACACCGGUGGCGAAGGCGGCCUGCUGGGCAGUUUUGCUGACACUGAGGCGCGACAGCGUGGGGAGCAAACAGG